rnacentral:rRNA from 1 species
GACGAACGCUGGCGGCGUGCUUAACACAUGCAAGUCGAGCGAGAAACCUUCGGGUUUCUAGCGGCGGACGGGUGAGUAACACGUGGGUAACCUGCCUCAAAGAGGGGAAUAGCCUCCCGAAAGGGAGAUUAAUACCGCAUAAUAUUAAAGUUUCACAUGGAGCUUUAAUUAAAGGAGUAAUCCGCUUUGAGAUGGACCCGCGGCGCAUUAGCUAGUUGGAGAGGUAACGGCUCACCAAGGCGACGAUGCGUAGCCGACCUGAGAGGGUGAUCGGCCACAUUGGAACUGAGACACGGUCCAGACUCCUACGGGAGGCAGCAGUGGGGAAUAUUGCACAAUGGGCGAAAGCCUGAUGCAGCAACGCCGCGUGAGUGAUGACGGUCUUCGGAUUGUAAAGCUCUGUCUUUUGGGACGAUAAUGACGGUACCAAAGGAGGAAGCCACGGCUAACUACGUGCCAGCAGCCGCGGUAAUACGUAGGUGGCAAGCGUUGUCCGGAUUUACUGGGCGUAAAGGAUGUGUAGGCGGAUACUUAAGUGAGAUGUGAAAGCCCCGGGCUCAACCUGGGGACUGCAUUUCAAACUGGGUAUCUAGAGUGCAGGAGAGGAAAGCGGAAUUCCUAGUGUAGCGGUGAAAUGCGUAGAGAUUAGGAAGAACAUCAGUGGCGAAGGCGGCUUUCUGGACUGUAACUGACGCUGAGGCAUGAAAGCGUGGGGAGCAAACAGGAUUAGAUACCCUGGUAGUCCACGCCGUAAACGAUGAGUACUAGGUGUAGGAGGUAUCGACUCCUUCUGUGCCGCAGUUAACACAAUAAGUACUCCGCCUGGGAAGUACGGUCGCAAGAUUA